UGAGUGCUAGCUAGCCAAGCACCACAACACAAACAGACUAUACAACUACUACUGUUCUUCCAGAGACAAAUCGAUGGGUCUGUGAACUUCUACAGAGACUUGGACCACUACUAGAAUGGCUUUGAGCAUGCUGCAGGAGACCACUGGCUGGGGUGAUGCCCACUCCCACUACAACAUCCAGAGGUUUUCCACCUGCGACCGGGACAAGGACAGCAGCCAUGUGAACUGUGCUGAAAGUUACCUGGGAGGCGUCUAGUAGACCAAGCGCUACAGCACUAACCCCAACUGUGUGUAUAGCCAGAAUAGUCUGCAAAAUUGCAAAUUGAUCAUAACUAUGCCCCAAAAAAGAUUGUAUUUGAAAAUAACAAUAAUUGUAUACCUUGAUUACAUUAAGACACAAUCACAUAAUUAUGUCUCUUUUUUUAUUUGUGCAAAUACUUGGGAACAGAUUUCUGGAAUUAAACCAUUUUUUUGCUGAAUUCCUUUUUACUAAAAACUUUGGGGGGCCCAAGAAAAUCACUCAUGGCUGGUUUUGGUCACCUG